rnacentral:rRNA from 1 species
UGAACGCUAGCUACAGGCUAACACAUGCAAGUCGAGGGGCAGCAUUGGAGUAGCAAUACUCAGAUGGCGACCGGCGCACGGGUGAGUAACACGUAUCCAACCUGCCGCUUACUCGGGGAUAGCCUUUCGAAAGAAAGAUUAAUACCCGAUGGUAUAAAGAGUUCGCAUGUUCUCUUUAUUAAAGAAUUUCGGUAAGCGAUGGGGAUGCGUUCCAUUAGAUAGUUGGCGGGGUAACGGCCCACCAAGUCUACGAUGGAUAGGGGUUCUGAGAGGAAGGUCCCCCCACAUUGGAACUGAGACACGGUCCAAACUCCUACGGGAGGCAGCAGUGAGGAAUAUUGGUCAAUGGACGAGAGUCUGAACCAGCCAAGUAGCGUGCAGGAAGAAUGUUCCCUAUGGAUUGUAAACUGCUUUUGCAGGGGAAUAAAGUGCAUCACGUGUGAUGUUUUGUAUGUACUCUGCGAAUAAGGAUCGGCUAACUCCGUGCCAGCCGCAGC